AGCUGGAUAGUAGCUGGUUGUGUGGCUGGAUGGUAGCUGGUUGUGUGGCUGGAUGGUAGCUGGUUGUGUAGGGUGGCUGGAUGGUAGCUGGUUGUGUGGCUGGAUGGUAGCUGGUUGUGUGGUGUGGCUGGAUGGUAGCUGGUUGUGUAAUGUGGCUGGAUGGUAGCUGGUUGUGUAGGGUGGCUGGAUGGUAGCUGGUUGUGUGGCUGGAUGGUAGAUGGUUGUGUGGCUGGAUGGUAGAUGGUUGUGUAGUGUGGCUGGAUGGUAGCUGGUUGUGUGGCUGGAUGGUAGCUGGUUGUGUGGCUGGAUGGUAGCUGGUAGUGUAAGGUGGCUGGAUGGUAGCUGGUUGUGUAGUGUGGCUGGAUGGUAGCUGGUUGUGUAGGGUGGCUGGAUGGUAGCUGGUUGUGUGGCUGGAUGGUAGCUGGUUGUGUAGGGUGGCUGGAUGGUAGCUGGUUGUGUGGCUGGAUGGUAGCUGGUUGUGUGGCUGGAUGGUAGCUGGUUGUGUGGCUGGAUGGUGGCUGGUUGUGUAGCGUGGCUGGAUGUGGCUGGUUGUGUAGUGUGGCUGGAUGGUACCUGGUUGUGUGGCUGAAUGGUAGCUGGUUGUGUGGCUGGAUGGUAGCUGGUUGUGUGGCUGGAUGGUAGAUUGUUGUGUAGUGUGGCUGGAUGGUAGCUGGUUGUGCUAGCUUGGCUGGAUGGUAGCUGGAUGUGUAGCGUGGCUGGAUGGUAGCUGGUUGUGUAGGGUGGCUGGAUGGUAGCUGGUUGUGUGGCUGGAUGGUAGCUGGUUGUGUGGCUGGAUGGUAGCUGGUUGUGUAGCGUGGCUGGAUGGUAGCUGGAUGUGUAGGGUGGCUGGAUUGUAGCUGGUUGUGUGGCUGGAUGGUAGCUGGUUGUGUAGCUUGGCUGGAUGGUAGCUGGAUGUGUAGCGUGGCUGAUUGUGUAGCGUGGCUGGAUGGUAGCUGGUUGUGUGGCUGGAUGGUACCUGGUUGUGUAGUGUGGCUGGAUGGUAGCUGGUUGUGAGU
ensembl:lncRNA